rnacentral:rRNA from 1 species
AGGACGAACGCUGGCGGCGUGCUUAACACAUGCAAGUCGAACGAACUUUCAUCCUUCGGGUUGAAAGUGAGUGGCGAACGGGUGAGUAACACGUGAGCAACCUGCCCUUGACACUGGAAUAACAGUUGGAAACAGCUGCUAAUACCGGAUAUGACCUCUGACGACAUCGUCUGGAGGUGGAAAGCUCCGGCGGUCAAGGAUGGGCUCGCGGCCUAUCAGCUUGUGGUGAGGUAACGGCUCACCAAGGCUUCGACGGGUA